AGCGAACGCUGGCGGCGUGCCUAACACAUGCAAGUCGAACGUGAAAGGGAGCAAUCCCAAGUAAAGUGGCGUACGGGUGAGUAACACGUAGGUAAUCUACCCCAGCAUCUGGAAUAACCGGCCGAAAGGCUGGCUAAUACUGGAUAGAGCGACGGAAUCCGUAAUUGGGUUUUUCGGGAAAGGGAGCCUGUACAAAGGCCUUCGUUCUGGGAUGAGCCUGCGUCCCAUCAGCUAGUUGGUGAGGUAAAAGCUUACCAAGGCAAUGACGGGUAGCUGGUCUGGAAGGACGAUCAGCCACACUGGAACUGAAACACGGUCCAGACUCCUACGGGAGGCAGCAGUGGGGAAUCUUGCGCAAUGGACGAAAGUCUGACGCAGCAACGCCGCGUGAGUGAAGAAGGCCUUCGGGUUGUAAAGCUCUGUCGAGUGGGACGAAAAUGCUUGGAGUUCACAGCUCCAGGAACUGACGGUACCACUAAAGGAAGCACCGGCUAACUCCGUG
rnacentral:rRNA from 1 species